AGAGUUUGAUCAUGGCUCAGGACGAACGCUGGCGGCGUGGAUUAGGCAUGCAAGUCGAACGGUAUAAACCUUUCGGGGUUUAGAGAGUGGCGAACGGGUGAGUAACACGUAGGUAAUCUACCCUCAAAACGGGGACAACCCAGGGAAACUUGGGCUAAUACCGGAUGCGUGCAAGCAAUGUUUUGGCUGUUAAUGCUAUUCACGGAAGUGAGUAGUGUUAAUGGUUGAGAGCAUUAUUUGCAUAAAAGGUGGCAUAUGCUGCCGUUUGAGGAUGAGCCUGCGUCCUAUUAGUUAGUUGGUGAGGUAAUGGCUUACCAAGGCGAUGAUAGGUAGGCGGCCUUAACGGGUGGUCGCCCACACUGGGAUUGAGAGACGGCCCAGACUCCUACGGGAGGCAGCAGUCGAGAAUAGUCUACAAUGGACGGAAGUCUGAUAGUGCGACGCCGCGUGAACGAAGAAUCCCUUCGGGGUGUAAAGUUCUUUUAUACGUGAGCAGUGCCCUUUAUAUGAAUAGUAUAGAGGGAGGGAUUUAAGCGUAUGAAUAAGCAACGGCUAACUCCGUGCCAGCAGCCGCGGUAACACGGGGGUUGCAGGCGUUGUCCGGAAUUACUAGGCGUAAAGUGCAGGUAGGCGGAUAGAUAAGUUUAAGGUUAAAGGCUACGGCUUACCCGUAGUAAGGCGUUAGAUACUGUUUAUCUGGAAUGCGGUUGAGGGAGACAGAAUUCCUGGUGUAGCGGUGGAAUGCGCAGAGAUCAGGAGGAAUACCGAAGGCGAAGGCAGUCUUCUAAGCCGAUAUUGACGCUAAACUGCGAAGGUGUGGGGAUCAAACAGGAUUAGAUACCCUGGUAGUCCACACAGUAAACGAUAAUCACUAGGUGUUGGGUUCGUAUAGGACUCGGUGCCGGAGCUAACGCGAUAAGUGAUUCGCCUGGGGAGUACGAUCGCAAGGUUGAACUCAAAUGAAUUGACGG
rnacentral:rRNA from 1 species